ACAUUUUUUUUUCCAGAAAUACCAAAACAAAAUCAACACCAACGUCGCUGUUGCAGGGAUUACAAAUACGCCAAAAAAUAUCGCUCGCAGAUUGUCAGCGCUCUAGAAACCAACCCUGUCACCAGACGUGGCCAAUUACAGCACAAGUUCGAGCAAAUGAUAAUCCUGAUGGAGGACGAUAUCUACACGUGUAGCAGCGAGGCCUAGCAGAGCCCGGGUGGGGGGAGCCUACAACAAUUUAAUUGGCUUAGAGAACUCUGAGUCGCCCCAGAAAGGCGGUCCUCCGAAAACGACAUGAACCACAAUUGCACUCUGCAAGCCAACGGACAGCUCAGCCUCCAAAAAAAAUAAACUUGGCUGACCUAGAUGGCUUGGGCGAGGAUAGGACGCUGGGCGGCUUGUGGCUCCUUUUGUUACACCCAAUGGGUCUUGGACGUUCUUUGGGUCAGUCGCAGGAUUGGCCGACUGUAGUCAUGCGACACAUUUACCGCAGACGGGAUUUUGCACUGUAGACGGAACUCCUUGUCCUGUUUAGAACUGGCAUAGACCACGAACAGGACGGCACUGCAUAGGGGACAACCACUUGCUAAAGAUGAGUUAAUGCGCUAGCUUGUCCGCCGCGAAGCUUGAAUGCCGCGGCAGCACCCGGCUACACCGCCCACCGCUCUGCGAGUGCCUUAAUACCAGCUGUCUCAGGAUAUUAUAAGGGAGUACAGUGCUCUCUACAGAAACCUGCGUCUCCGUGGGGGAAUUUUGAAACGCACGGAGUGCCGGGAGUGAGCGCAUUUCGAGUCCAUUCCAGAGAGUUCUAAAAAAAAAAUGAAAUAUGUUUUUGUAUAAUGCACUUUUUUUCCUUUAAGUAAUUAGACAAUCCUUGGUAUAGAUUUGCCACCAAUCCUCUGCUUCCUCAUCAGCUUGCAAAACACGGUGGGGGCUUUAAACUAGCAGCAUGUGAUAGGAGAACCUGUCCUGAUGGCAAUACGGGUGCUGCCAUCAUCAUGUUCAUCACCUGGCGAGGCAAUUAACCUGGAACAAGCAUGUAGCCAGUGAAGAUACCUCAGCUGCUAUCAAUUUCUUCAAAACAUGGGCAAUGGUAGUCAUCCAUGUGUCAGUCAUGACAGGUUCUCACCUUCAAAUGAUCUAAACUGGGGAAAUGUACAACCUCAGAGAGAUUUAAAAGAGAACGCUAGAAAAAAAAAAAAAUAUUCAUUUAAGAUAUCUCCAGCAAAGCUGUGCUUCUAUACCUUGUUAACAACUAGCCUUUACACACAAUGCAGUUCAGUCCAACAGCAGCCGACUGUAAAACCGUUGGCAGUAGCAGCACAUAAAAGUGCAAUUGACCUGCAGUUCUUUAUUACGUUUUCUGAAGGUGGUAACCGACCUCAGAGUUACUUGAGGUCAUCAUAAAUAAUUACUGUGACAAGUAUUAGGGCUCCUUCACACUUGUGCAGGACCAUUAACAUACUCGAGUAUGUUAAUGGAACUGAUCCAUGUGUGGGGUGUUCCAGUACCAUUCAUUGUGAAAGGCAUCCCAAUUCAGCGUAGAGGGCAAGGCAUAAGGAACCUUAAGGUCACCGGCUUUUUGUUUACAUUUAGUUUGGUGCAUUGGGUGCCCACUCAUAAUGAGUGGACUGCAUUCAUUGGCCACCCAUUUGGAAUCAGUGGACUGCAUUCAUUGGCCACCCAUUUAGAAUGAGGGAACUGCCUAUAUUGGCUAUCCGUUUAGAAUGAGGGAACUCCCUAUAUUGGCCACCCAUUUAGAAUGGAUGGACUGCCUCCAGUGGCUGCCCAUUCGGCAUGAAUGGACUGCCUCCAUUGGUCUACCGUUCGUAAUGAGAGGACUGCUUCCGUUGGCCACCCUCUCGAAAUGAGUGGACUGCCCCUGUUGGCCACCCGUUCGUAAUGAGUGGACUGCCACUGUUGGCCACCCGUUCGAAAUGAGUGGACUGCCUCCGUUGGCCACCCUUUCAGAAUGAGUGGACUGCCCCCAUUGGCCACCCCUUCGGAAUGAGUGGACUGCCCCGUUGGCCACCCGUUCGGAAUGAGUGGACUGCCCCCCGUUGGCCACCUGUUUGGAAUGAGUGGACGCCCCUAUUGGCCACCCGUUCGGAAUGAGUGGACUGCCUCCGUUGGACGCCCAUUCCUACUAGGUGGACUGUCUUCACUGACCACCCAUUCCUAAUGAGCAGAUUGCCUCUGUUGGCCACCCUUUCAGAAUGAGCAGAUUGCCUCCAUUAGCCGCUUGUUCAAAAUAAGUAGACUGCCUUCCUCAGCCGCCCUUUCGGAACGAGUGGACUUCUUCGGUUGGCUGCCCAUUCAUAAUGAGUAGACUGCCUUCGUCAGCUGCCCUUUCGCAAUGAGUGGGCCUCCUCUCCUCUGUUGGCUCUUCCUUCAGAAUUAGUGGAUCUCCUCUCCCCUGUUAGUCCUCCUUUCAGAAUACGUGGACCGCCUUCGUUGGCUGCCUGUUCAGAAUGAGUGGACCUCCUCUCCUCUGUUAGUCCUCCUUUCAGAAUGAGUGGACCGCCUUCGUUGGCUGCCUGUUUGGAAUGAGCAGACUCCUCUGUUGGCCACCCAUCCCAAGUAUACUACCCUCGUCGGCCACCCAUUCCUAAUGAAUGGACUGCUUUAAUGCAUAUUAACACACACCACAGCUUGCAUUAACACUCCACAACAGAUUGCUUAAGUAUGAAUGUGCCCUUAAACUCCAUGUGUUACUGAGGGAAUCUAUCACAUGCCAUCCGAUUAGCUGUAAGUCACAGUGGCCACCUAUAGAGUCACCUCUCUGCUCUGGACUGCAGAACAGAAUUGCUUUUAACUUAAUGACCAUUUGCAGCUGGUGUGUUUUUUUGACUCGUUACCAUAAUAGUAUGUUGGGGUAACCAAUAUCUGAAGAGUAUGGGUGUCAAAGUAACAGGUAGCUGGCUACCACAUACUUUAUAGCCAACGCCGGCCACAAAGAUGUAAAUUUAAUAUAUGAUAUAUGACAUAGUAUGCAAAGCUGUGACUAUCUGCUGAGCAGAAGCGUUAGAUAUUAAAGCCGUCCUGUCACCUACAUACAGUUCAGUCAACAUUUAGCAAGGUGAGCCAAUGUUCGGAGAAGGCAGCCAAUCAGUUCACUAGGAGCUAGUGACAUCAGAGAGGCAGCCAUUUUAUCAGACAGGCCCAUAGGCCACAGUGGACGUUCCUUUGCAGAACAUUGGCCAAUACAGUUCAGAAUGCAAUGUUGCACUGGCCUUUGGUGGGUCUCAAACCAAGAGUCAACGCCAUAGGAUUUCAGAGAAUAUGGACUCUUUGCAGUCAGAUCAUGGAUCUGGGAUUUAGCCAGCUGUAGCGAUGAAACCAUUUGCAGUUCAAUAUACUCUAGGUAUCUACCACUAUGAAAAUUGUAUCACCCUCGCUGUUCACCUGCCGUGGGAGAUCCAAGCGUGAAAUUCAGAACCAAACCCUUAAGCGCCUCUGAUGGUAGAGGGGGCCCUCCCACACUCCCUAUGAGAAGUGGAAGAUGCACACUGUAUGUAGAUGUAUAUAAGUGAAAUCUUGUUCCAAUUGGGUUCAUAUGUUCUAUUGUGAAAUGUUUCAUUUGUAAUAAAAUAUAUUUAAACUGUU